rnacentral:rRNA from 1 species
UCGAGAAUUUUUCUCAAUGGGCGAAAGCCUGAAGGAGCGACGCCGCGUGGGGGAUGAAUGGCUUCGGCCCGUAAACCCCUGUCAUUCGGGAUCAAUGCUUGUUUCCCAACACGAGACAAGUUGAUAGUACCGGAAGAGGAAGGGACGGCUAACUCUGUGCCAGCAGCCGCGGUAAUACAGAGGUCCCAAGCGUUGUUCGGAUUUACUGGGCGUAAAGGGUGCGUAGGUGGCUGGGUAAGUCUGAUGUGAAAUCUCCGGGCUCAACCCGGAAAUGGCAUUGGAAACUACCUGACUAGAGGGUUGGAGGGGGGACUGGAAUACUUGGUGUAGCAGUGAAAUGCGUAGAUAUCAAGUGGAACACCAGUGGCGAAGGCGAGUCCCUGGACAACUCCUGACACUGAGGCACGAAAGCUAGGGGAGCAAACAG